GGGUUGUGAGGUUAAGCGACUAAGCGUACACGGUGGAUGCCUAGGCAGUCAGAGGCGAUGAAGGGCGUGCUAAUCUGCGAUAAGCGUCGGUAAGGUGAUAUGAACCGUUACAACCGACGAUACCCGAAUGGGGAAACCCAGUGCAAUUCGUUGCACUAUUGCAUGGUGAAUACAUAGCCAUGCAAGGCGAACCGGGGGAACUGAAACAUCUAAGUACCCCGAGGAAAAGAAAUCAACCGAGAUUCCCCCAGUAGCGGCGAGCGAACGGGGAAGAGCCCAGAGUCUGAAUCAGUUUGUGUGUUAGUGGAAGCGUCUGGAAAGUCGCACGGUACAGGGUGAUAGUCCCGUACACAAAAACACACCUUCUGUGAACUCGAUGAGUAGGGCGGGACACGUGACAUCCUGUCUGAAUAUGGGGGGACCAUCCUCCAAGGCUAAAUACUCCUGACUGACCGAUAGUGAACCAGUACCGUGAGGGAAAGGCGAAAAGAACCCCGGCGAGGGGAGUGAAAUAGAACCUGAAACCGUGUACGUACAAGCAGUGGGAGCACCUUCGUGGUGUGACUGCGUACCUUUUGUAUAAUGGGUCAGCGACUUAUAUUUUGUAGCAAGGUUAACCGAAUAGGGGAGCCGUAGGGAAACCGAGUCUUAACUGGGCGUCUAGUUGCAAGGUAUAGACCCGAAACCCGGUGAUCUAGCCAUGGGCAGGUUGAAGGUUGGGUAACACUAACUGGAGGACCGAACCGACUAAUGUUGAAAAAUUAGCGGAUGACUUGUGGCUGGGGGUGAAAGGCCAAUCAAACCGGGAGAUAGCUGGUUCUCCCCGAAAGCUAUUUAGGUAGCGCCUCGUGAACUCAUCUUCGGGGGUAGAGCACUGUUUCGGCUAGGGGGUCAUCCCGACUUACCAAACCGAUGCAAACUCCGAAUACCGAAGAAUGUUAUCACGGGAGACACACGGCGGGUGCUAACGUCCGUCGUGAAGAGGGAAACAACCCAGACCGCCAGCUAAGGUCCCAAAGUCAUGGUUAAGUGGGAAACGAUGUGGGAAGGCAUAGACAGCCAGGAUGUUGGCUUAGAAGCAGCCAUCAUUUAAAGAAAGCGUAAUAGCUCACUGGUCGAGUCGGCCUGCGCGGAAGAUGUAACGGGGCUAAACCAUGCACCGAAGCUGCGGCAGCGACGCUUAGGCGUUGUUGGGUAGGGGAGCGUUCUGUAAGCCGUUGAAGGUGGCCUGUGAGGGCUGCUGGAGGUAUCAGAAGUGCGAAUGCUGACAUAAGUAACGAUAAUGCGGGUGAAAAACCCGCACGCCGGAAGACCAAGGGUUCCUGUCCAACGUUAAUCGGGGCAGGGUGAGUCGACCCCUAAGGCGAGGCUGAAAAGCGUAGUCGAUGGGAAACAGGUUAAUAUUCCUGUACUUGGUGUUACUGCGAAGGGGGGACGGAGAAGGCUAGGCUAGCCGGGCGACGGUUGUCCCGGUUUAAGCAUGUAGGCGGAGUGACUUGGUAAAUCCGGUUGCUUAUCAACGCUGAGGUGUGAUGACGAUGCACUACGGUGCAGAAGUAGUUGAUGCCAAGCUUCCAGGAAAAGCCUCUAAGCAUCAGGUAACAUUGAAUCGUACCCCAAACCGACACAGGUGGUCAGGUAGAGAAUACUCAGGCGCUUGAGAGAACUCGGGUGAAGGAACUAGGCAAAAUGGUGCCGUAACUUCGGGAGAAGGCACGCUGGCAUUAGGUAAAGAGACUUGCUCUCGGCGCCGAAGCCAGUCGCAGAUACCAGCUGGCUGCAACUGUUUAAUAAAAACACAGCACUGUGCAAACACGAAAGUGGACGUAUACGGUGUGACGCCUGCCCGGUGCUGGAAGGUUAAUUGAUGGGGUCAGCCGCAAGGCGAAGCUCUUGAUCGAAGCCCCAGUAAACGGCGGCCGUAACUAUAACGGUCCUAAGGUAGCGAAAUUCCUUGUCGGGUAAGUUCCGACCUGCACGAAUGGCGUAAUGAUGGCCAGGCUGUCUCCACCCGAGACUCAGUGAAAUUGAACUCGCUGUGAAGAUGCAGUGUACCCGCGGCAAGACGGAAAGACCCCGUGAACCUUUACUAUAGCUUGACACUGAACAUUGAGCCUUGAUGUGUAGGAUAGGUGGGAGGCAUUGAAGUGUGGACGCCAGUCUGCAUGGAGCCAACCUUGAAAUACCACCCUUUAAUGUUUGAUGUUCUAACUCGGCCCCGUAAUCCGGGGUGAGGACAGUGUCUGGUGGGUAGUUUGACUGGGGCGGUCUCCUCCCAAAGAGUAACGGAGGAGCACGAAGGUUAGCUAAUCACGGUCGGACAUCGUGAGGUUAGUGCAAAGGCAUAAGCUAGCUUGACUGCGAGAGUGACGGCUCGAGCAGGUACGAAAGUAGGUCUUAGUGAUCCGGUGGUUCUGAAUGGAAGGGCCAUCGCUCAACGGAUAAAAGGUACUCCGGGGAUAACAGGCUGAUACCGCCCAAGAGUUCAUAUCGACGGCGGUGUUUGGCACCUCGAUGUCGGCUCAUCACAUCCUGGGGCUGAAGUAGGUCCCAAGGGUAUGGCUGUUCGCCAUUUAAAGUGGUACGCGAGCUGGGUUUAGAACGUCGUGAGACAGUUCGGUCCCUAUCUGCCGUGGGCGUUGGAAGAUUGAGAGGGGCUGCUCCUAGUACGAGAGGACCGGAGUGGACGAAUCACUGGUGUUCGGGUUGUCAUGCCAAUGGCAUUGCCCGGUAGCUAAAUUCGGAAGAGAUAACCGCUGAAAGCAUCUAAGCGGGAAACUUGCCUCGAGAUGAGUCUUCCCUGGGGCUUUAAGCCCCCUGAAGGAACGUUAAAGACUAUGACGUUGAUAGGCUGGGUGUGUAAGUGCAGCGAUGCAUUGAGCUAACCAGUACUAAUGAUCCGUGAGGCUUAACCUUACAACACCAAAGGUGUUUUG
rnacentral:rRNA from 1 species